rnacentral:rRNA from 1 species
GUCCACGCCGUAAACGAUGGAUGCUAGCCGUUGGUAAGCAUGCUUAUCAGUGGCGCAGCUAACGCAUUAAGCGUCCCGCCUGGGGAGUACGGCCGCAAGGUUGAAACUCAAAGGAAUUGACGGGGGCCCCGCACAAGCGGUGGAGCAUGUGGUUUAAUUCACGCAACGCGCAGAACCUUACCAGGGUUUGACAUCCCGCGCUAAACCCAGAGAUGGGUGGUCCCCGCAAGGGGCGCGGAGACAGGUGCUGCAUGGCUGUCGU